rnacentral:rRNA from 1 species
GUCUAUGGCCGUAUCUCCCUGAGCAUGCCUCAUCUCCUCUGAUCUUGGAAGCUAAGCAGGGUCAGGCCUGGUUAGUAAUUGGAUGGGAGAAAAGGGCAUGGUUCCUCUGUCA